rnacentral:rRNA from 1 species
AAGGGUGCGCACGCGCGGAUGUUAAGUCGGCGGUGUGAUUUUGCAGCUCAACUGGAAAAGUGCCUUCCAUACUGGCUUUCUUGAGUGUGGAUGAAGUAAGCGGAAUUUGUGGUGGAACGGUGAAAUGCUUAAAUAUCACGAGGAACUCCCAUUGGGCAGGCCGCUUACUAAACCACUACUGACGCUCAUGCACGAAGGCGUGGGGAUCAAACAGGAUUAAAUACCCUGGUAGUCCACGCAGUAAACGAUGAUUACUAAUUGUUUGCGAUACAAUGUAAGCGACUGAACGAAAGCGUUAAGUAAUCCACCUGGGGAGUACGUUCCCAAGAAUGAAACUCCAAUGAAUUGACGGG